rnacentral:rRNA from 1 species
UACGUAGGGCGCGAGCGUUGUCCGGAAUUAUUGGGCGUAAAGAGCUCGUAGGCGGCCGGUUGCGUCUGCUGUGAAAUCCCGGGGCUUAACCCCGGGCGUGCAGUGGAUACGGGCCGGCUGGAGGCAGGCAGGGGAGAAUGGAAUUCCCGGUGUAGCGGUGAAAUGCGCAGAUAUCAGGAGGAACACCGAUGGCGAAGGCAGGUCUCUGGGCCACUACUGACGCUGAGAAGCGAAAGACAUGGGAGCGAACAGG